rnacentral:lncRNA from 1 species
CCUCUCAAACUCUUGCCCUCUCCAGAUCUCAACUGUCCCAAAAACCUGGAGUCCUCCCCUUGUUCCAGUCCCUGCAGGAGCCCUCUCCUACAGAAAGUCAAGGUAUUGCUUUACCAUUACAGUUAGUGUUUCCAGUGCUAUUAAUUGUGUUUCCUGGAAUAGGGACAAGUUAAAUAAUCCAUUAACGUGAGGGGUGAGGGUGCGGAAUUCAAUCUACUUAAAACAAAAACCUGACAUAACCGUGUGAUGGGAAACUUGUACAGCUGACCCAUGCUGGAGCAGGGCUAGAUGGGAACAUUUCCAGUCCCUGGAGCCAUGCCAAUCCUGAAUUGUCCAGUUUCCCAAAUCACAAAAUGAUCUCAUCUUGGGCUGGAUUUGUGACAGAGAGUAUCAGGAAAUACUCUGGUGUGAAACCUCCACUCAGGAGGUCUGUGCAGCUCUUCAGGCAACACACAAAUAGUAUCACCCCAGAUGACAGCUCUAAGUGCUCUAUCUGUAGAGAUGUACUAAUGUACUACUCCCUGCAAAGUUUUUCACCUUCACAGAGAUGUGCUUUUUCAACAUUUUGUCAAUGAACAGAGUUUGCAAACCACCUCCUAAAUACCUGCAGCCCUAUUCAGAUGGCAAGAAAGCCAACCUCCAUUUUCUCUGGCUGGAGGCUGACACUCCUGUGUUGUCACAGGGACUUCACAAUAGUGCAUUAUUAGUGCAUGUGUGAUGUUCACCCUGCCAGAAUCCUCCUAUGCCCUACUGUUGAAGGCAUCGGUCACCUCCAGCAGAACGGGGAGGCUGUCACUGCGAGUUGUCACCACCCUGAGGUGCUGCAGGGAUGGGAAGGAUGUGCAUCCAAACCCUGUUGUACAAGACUGGUAAAGUGUAGGAUACAGGUGGUUCCCAGACGACCUAAUCUCCAGUAUCUCCCAAGCUGUCUCAUCUCAGUCCAUUUAUUUUGCCAGACCCAAAUCCAGACUUCUCCAUUCAUGGGAAUCCCAGGCCUCAGUUUGGGAAUGGAUGUAUGUGAGAAGAAAAACAGAUGAAAUGCGAUACAGUUUUUAUAUAUCCAGUGAUUACAAAUCCUAGCAUUUACAUCUGCCAAACUGCAAUACGCAUUAGGAAGUGCUGCCAAUAAAUGAGCAUUCAAACCCUUCCUUUCCUGACUC